AACCAGACUCCUACGGGAGGCAGCAGUGAGGAAUAUUGGUCAAUGGGCGCGAGCCUGAACCAGCCAAGUCGCGUGAGGGAAGACGGUCCUAUGGAUUGUAAACCUCUUUUGUCGGGGAGCAAAAGACGCCACGCGUGGCGUUCCGAGAGUACCCGAAGAAAAAGCAUCGGCUAACUCCGUGCCAGCAGCCGCGGUAAUACGUAGGGGGCAAGCGUUAUCCGGAUUUACUGGGUGUAAAGGGAGCGUAGACGGCACUGCAAGUCCGGAGUGAAAGCCCAAGGCUUAACCAUGGGACUGCUCUGGAAACUGUGGAGCUUGAGUGCGGGAGGGGCAGGCGGAAUUCCUAGUGUAGCGGUGAAAUGCGUAGAUAUUAGGAGGAACACCGGCGGCGAAGGCGGCCUGCUGGACCGUAACUGACGUUGAGGCUCGAAAGCGUGGGGAGCAAACAGGAUUAGAUACCCGUGUA
rnacentral:rRNA from 1 species